rnacentral:piRNA from 1 species
UUAAAAUGAAAAUGAGAAAGUGCAGG